rnacentral:rRNA from 1 species
UACGUAGGGGGCAAGCGUUGUCCGGAAUCAUUGGGCGUAAAGCGCGUGUAGGCGGCUUGAUAAGUCUGCUGUGAAAGUCCAGGGCUCAACCCUGGAAAGCCGGUGGAAACUGUCAAGCUAGAGUCCGGAAGAGGCGAGUGGAAUUCCUGGUGUAGCGGUGAAAUGCGCAGAUAUCAGGAGGAACACCAAUGGCGAAGGCGGUGGGCUGGGCCGGCACUGACGCUGAGGAGCGAAAGCGUGGGGAGCGAACAGG